rnacentral:rRNA from 1 species
GUAGGUGGCAAGCGUUGUCCGGGAAUUAUUGGGGCGUAAAGCGCGCGCAGGCGGUUCUUUAAGUCUGAUGUGAAAGCCCACGGGCUCAACCGUGGAGGGUCAUUGGAAACUGGAGAACUUGAGUACAGAGGAGGAAAGCGGAAUUCCACGUGUAGCGGUGAAAUGCGUAGAGAUGUGGAGGAACACCAGUGGCGAAGGCGGCUUUCUGGUCUGUAACUGACGCUGAGGCGCGAAAGCGUGGGGAGCAAACAGGAUUAGAUACCCUGGUAGUCCACGCCGUAAACGAUGAGUGCUAAGUGUUAGGGGGUUUCCGCCCCUUAGUGCUGCAGCUAACGCAUUAAGCACUCCGCCUGAGGAGUACGGCCGCAAAGGCUG